CCGGAAGAGGCGGGCGGGCCCAAGAGGAGGGUCCGGAAGAGGAGGUGCAAGGAGGCGGGAACGCGAGGGAGACCGGUCAUAGAAGAAGACGUCCUUGUCGGGCCCAGAGAAGUUUCUGCCGUACUCCAUGUUGAUGACGAAGAGCCCGUGCCUGGCCUGCCUGCCGGUGACUGCCUCCAGCUGGGCCAGCAUCUGCAUGGGGAACUCCUCCAGGUACUCGAAUGCUGUGCCGUUCCUGGGACCAAGGCAGAUGGGAGGCGAGACCCUCAGUGCUGCAGCAGAGGUGAGGCGUGUGCAUGUGGGCCUGUGUGUACGUGCCCCUCUCCCUCCAGGAAGUGACAAUCAAACAGCACACGGACUCUGACCAGCCCUGCACAGCUCACGUUGAUGUGACAGCCGAGCCCUGGGACGGGGCGCAUGCCUUGGGCCACCCUGGCCAUGCGCUGAGAGCAGACCGCUGCUGGACCAGUGCACGUGAGAGAUGCUGUGUUCCGGACCAAGGGGCAGGGCAGAGCUGUGCGGGGAGGUCAGUUCUAGAUAACCUGAAGGAGAGCC